rnacentral:rRNA from 1 species
CAACUUUUGACAAUGGAUCUCUUGGUUCUCG